CACAGUAUAGGCCUGGCGAAGAUUGCUG
rnacentral:piRNA from 1 species